GACGAACGCUGGCGGCGUGCCUAAUACAUGCGAGUCGAGCGAAGGUUUUCUGGUGCUUGCACUAGAAAAACUUAGCGGCGAACGGGUGAGUAACACGUAAAGAACCUGCCUCAUAGACUGGGACAACUAUUGGAAACGAUAGCUAAUACCGGAUAACAGUAUUUCUCGCAUGAGAGAUAUUUAAAAGUUGGUUAUGCUAACACUAUGAGAUGGCUUUGCGGUGCAUUAGCUAGUUGGUGGGGUAAAGGCCCACCAAGGCGACGAUGCAUAGCCGACCUGAGAGGGUGAUCGGCCACACUGGGACUGAGCCACGGCCCAGACUCCUACGGGAGGCAGCAGUAGGGAAUCUUCCGCAAUGGGCGAAAGCCUGACGGAGCAACGCCGCGUGAGUGAAGAAGGAUUUCGGUUCGUAAAGCUCUGUUGUUAGGGAAGAAUGGAUAUGUAGUAACUAUACAUGUAAGAGACGGUACCUAACCAGAAAGCCACGGCUAACUACGUG
rnacentral:rRNA from 1 species